rnacentral:rRNA from 1 species
GAUGAACGCUGGCGGCGUGCCUAAUACAUGCAAGUCGAGCGAACAGACGAGGAGCUUGCUCCUCUGACGUUAGCGGCGGACGGGUGAGUAACACGUGGAUAACCUACCUAUAAGACUGGGAUAACUUCGGGAAACCGGAGCUAAUACCGGAUAAUAUAUUGAACCGCAGGGUGCAAUAGUGAAAGACGGUUUUGCUGUCUCUUAUAGAUGGAUCCGCGCCGCAUUAGCUAGUUGGGACGUUAACGGCUUACCAAGGCAACUAUGCGUAGCCGACCUGAGAGGGUGAUCGGCCACCCUGGAACUGAGACACGGUCCAGACUCCUACGGGAGGCAGCAGUAGGGAAUCUUCCGCAAUGGGCGAAAGCCUGACGGAGCAACGCCGCGUGAGUGAUGAAGGUCUUCGGAUCGUAAAACUCUGUUAUUAGGGAAGAACAAAUGUGUAAGUAACUAUGCACGUCUUGACGGUACCUAAUCAGAAAGCCACGGCUAACUACGUG